UUUUCUUUCUUCUUAUCUUUCCUUCUUCUCUGUUACUUCUGCUUCUGCAAGUUUAAGAGUUUUAAAUCGUGAUGAUGUAUUAAAGAAGAAGGAGUUGGUGUUCUGUUUAUUAUGAAGAAGAAGAUUGAGAUGAUGUGAUAAAUCGAAGAUAUGGUUCUGAAGUUAGGGUUUUCUGAAUGAUGAAGUUGGUUGAGUUUUCGUGGAAUUGAUUUGUGUAUUGAGUUCCUGAUGGAAGAAGAUUGAAUGGGUUGAAGUUUAAUUAUAGUUUUGAAGUUGAUUCAGUGAUGAAUCGAAAAACUAGGGUUUCAUGUAUUUUUCCCCAAAUUGAAUUAAGGUUUCUCAAGAUAAACUGGAAUUACAAUUAAUAAGGUAUAAGAAGAAUUAAGGAAUGGGUUUAGUCAAUUGAGGAACAUGGUGAAGUUAAUUAGAUGUUGGAACUGUUUUUUGGGGAGAAUUGAGGAAAUAAGGGUUUCACGGGAAAGCACAGGGAAGAAUAUAUUAGAAGAUGGGAUUGAUGUUCUCUGAGAUGGAUUUGAUAUGGAUUACGGAAUUAAGUUAAAGUAAAACAGUGGAGCAAAGCUUUGUUGAGGUAAUUGUGCUUCUUUGUAAUGUUAAUAAAUUUAUGAAAGUUCUUUAGUUAAAUUUAUGAAUAUAAAUGAAUUAAGGUUUGAGAAUGGGUAUGGAGGUUGUGUGAUAAAGCUGUAGUUGUAGCUUAGUAUAAUAUGAGUAACAAGAAUAGAAAGGGUGGUGUUGCAGCUGUCUUUAAAGGAUUGGGGAUUUAGAUAUUGUUAGGUUAUUUGUAAAUGGUGUUUCAUUGUAAGGAAAUAGAAUUUGGUUGGUGUUGAGAUGAAUCUGAAAUCUCAGGGCCAGUAAGUAUUGAGAAUGGUGUUCUGGUGGUGCAUUGAGAUUUGAUGUAUAGGUGUUGUAAUUGGGAAUGCUAUGGUGGGAUUGGUAUAUCGAUGUUGUUUUGAGUGGAUUGAAUGAUUUAAUGAUGCAGGAGUGGAUAAGUGGAAUCACAGUUGGUGUUGUGGUGGAUUCAUAAUGGUGAUGAAUGAGCUGUUGGAUGAGUGUCGCAGUUGAGUUGUUCAGGUUUUGUGAUUAGUGGUUAUAGAGUGAGAGAUGUAAUUUACUAGUAGCAAGAGCAUUGAAGAUACUGGAGUUGGGUAUUGUGUUGUUAUUAGAAUAUCUGAAUUUGUAUUUCAGAUGAUGAUGAGGUGUGUUGGUUGGUUGUUAGAGCUGAAUUGUUGGUGGCUGGUGCUGAUAGUGUCAAGCUAAGACUGAAAUGGUGUUGGUAUGAGCAGUGUAGGAUUAUAGUUGUUAGUUCAAUAAAAGCUAAAAGCUGCUAUUGCAGUCUUUAUUAACAACGAUCGAUUCAAAGGAUGAACCAGUAGAUCGUGGAUCUCGAGGUAGGCAUGGCUUGUCAUCAAAAGAGUUUCAGAGACAGAUCAGAGUUGCGCAGCGAAAGCUUUGAACGUUGAGUUCGAUCGUUGGUUAACUUCUGCUAUGUUUAUUACGUUGUAUAUUCUUUUGUAAACCAGAUGACUAUUAUAUAUGUAUCAUUUGAGAGGAGUUCUUGUAUAUAUGUAUAUUUCAGAGC